UUGAAAUGGGAUCUAAAGCAUACAGAAACAUGGACCGGCUUCUUCCAUGCCAGGGCCUCCGGCCGGACCCCCCAGUAAUGAGAUGGGGCGUGUCUUUCCAGAAAGCUUUUCUGCUGGUUCAGCUCCGAAAUCGCGGCAUGUCGUUAAGAAUUUCAUUUCUGGGACUGGAGAGAUGAAGCACUGGUUAAGAGCACUGUUUCCUCUUCAGAAGGAUCCGGAUUCAAUUCCCAGCACCCAUGUAGCAGAUCACAACUGUCUGUAAUGCCAAUUCCAAUGGAUCUGACAC